rnacentral:rRNA from 3 species
GGGUUGUGAGGUUAAGCGACUAAGCGUACACGGUGGAUGCCCUGGCAGUCAGAGGCGAUGAAGGGCGUGCUAAUCUGCGAUAAGCGCCGGUAAGGUGAUAUGAACCGUUAUAACCGGCGAUACCCGAAUGGGGAAACCCAGUGUGAUUCGUCACACUAUCAUUAACUGAAUCCAUAGGUUAAUGAGGCGAACCGGGGGAACUGAAACAUCUAAGUACCCCGAGGAAAAGAAAUCAACCGAGAUUCCCCCAGUAGCGGCGAGCGAACGGGGAGGAGCCCAGAGCCUGAAUCAGCAUGUGUGUUAGUGGAAGCGUCUGGAAAGGCGCGCGAUACAGGGUGACAGCCCCGUACACAAAAGCGCAUGUGCUGUGAGCUCGAUGAGUAGGGCGGGACACGUGGUAUCCUGUCUGAAUAUGGGGGGACCAUCCUCCAAGGCUAAAUACUCCUGACUGACCGAUAGUGAACCAGUACCGUGAGGGAAAGGCGAAAAGAACCCCGGCGAGGGGAGUGAAAAAGAACCUGAAACCGUGUACGUACAAGCAG